rnacentral:rRNA from 1 species
AUUGAACGCUGGCGGCAGGCCUAACACAUGCAAGUCGAGCGAGCGGCGGACGGGUGAGUAAUGUGUGGGAAACUGCCCGAUGGAGGGGGAUAACUACUGGAAAAGGUAGCUAAUACCGCAUACUAUCAGAUGUGCCCCGAUGGGAUUAGCUAGUAGGUGGGGUAAUGGCUCACCUAGGCGACGAUCCCUAGCUGGUCUGAGAGGAUGACCAGCCACACGGGAACUGAGACACGGGCCAGACCCCUACGGGAGGCAGCAGUGGGGAAUAUUGCACAAUGGGCGCAAGCCUGAUGCAGCCAGGCCGCGUGUGUGAAGAAGGCCUUCGGGUUGUAAAGUACUUUCAGCGGGGAGGCGUUACCUGCAGAAGAAGCACCGGCUAACUCCGUGCCAGCAGCCGCGGUAAUAC